AUUUAUGUAGUUUAAAUAAAACAUUACAUUUUCACUGUAAAAAUAAAACCCAUUUUCAUAAAUA
rnacentral:tRNA from 1 species